CCUACGGGUGGCAGCAGUAGGGAAUCUUCCACAAUGGGCGAAAGCCUGAUGGAGCAACGCCGCGUGGGUGAAGAAGGUCUUCGGAUCGUAAAACCCUGUUGUUAGAGAAGAAAGUGCGUGAGAGUAACUGUUCACGUUUCGACGGUAUCUAACCAGAAAGCCACGGCUAACUACGUGCCAGCAGCCGCGGUAAUACGUAGGUGGCAAGCGUUAUCCGGAUUGAUUGGGCGUAAAGGGAACGCAGGCGGUCUUUUAAGUCUGAUGUGAAAGCCUUCGGCUUAACCUGAGUAGUGCAUUGGAAACUGGGAGACUUGAGUGCAGAAGAGGAGAGUGGAAUUCCAUGUGUAGCGGUGGAAUGCGUAGAUAUAUGGAAGAACACCAGUGGCGAAGGCGGCUCUCUGGUCUGUAACUGACGCUGAGGUUCGAAAGCGUGGGUAGCAAACAGGAUUAGAUACCCGGGUAGUC
rnacentral:rRNA from 1 species